UCCCGCCGCAUUUUUUUCGUGUCGGUCCUACGUCAUGGGCCUGUAUAACAUAGGUCAUAUAGAUCUGUCAUAUUUUUUUUUCUUUGAUAAAUAAUCCAUAAGUUAUAAAUAAAUAAAUAACCGUUAGUUUUCUCGUUUUUAUUUUUUCACAUUUUUUUAUAUUGGUGUCUUUUAUAGCCGACUAUAUGGUAUAGGUUUUCCUCACUGUUAAAUGUUGUACAUUGGACUAUAAUAAUUGCUUUAUUCACCCCACUUCAUUUAAACUUUGGUGGAAAGUUGUAUCACUGGCCAUCACACCACAUCUAAAAAGCUUUAUAUGUAAAAAAAAAAAAAAAAAAAAAAAAAAAAAAAAAAAAAAACACCCAUAGAUAAAGCAGUUGAAUGCCAUCUAAGGCAUUCGGCAAACUAAGUUCAACGAGCUCCUAUGUCUGCUUUCGUCUAUGCGAAUUUGGACCAACAUCAGCAUUUUGAAGAGCC
rnacentral:lncRNA from 1 species